UAGGGAAUAUUGCACAAUGGAGGAAACUCUGAUGCAGCGACGCCGCGUGAGUGAUGAAGGACUUCGGUUCGUAAAGCUCUGUCGUAUGGGAAUAAUAAACUGAAUGUACCAUGCAAGAAAGGAUCGGCUAACUUCGUGCCAGCAGCCGCGGUAAGACGAGGGAUCCUAGCGUUGUUCGGAAUCAUUGGGCGUAAAGCGGAUGUAGGUGGCUUUGUAAGUCGGGUGUGAAAGCCCAGGGCUCAACCCUGGA
rnacentral:rRNA from 1 species